GGAAGUAAAAGUCGUAACAAGGUUGCUGUAGGUGAACCUUCAGCAGGAUCAUUACCGAAGUGAUGCGUCCCUUCUCGGGACGCAACUUCCAACCCCAUGUUUACCUGAAACAAAGUUGCCUCGGCGUCUGGAGCCCUCUAUUAGGGGGUUCCGCGCCGGUGGACACAACCGAACUCGUUUUUUGAACGUAUUAUGUCUGAGUCAGAUAAUUUUUAAAUUAAAAAAGCAAAACUUUCAACAAUGGAUCUCUUGGUUCCGGCAUCGAUGAAGAACGCAGCGAAAUGCGAUAAGUAAUGCGAAUUGCAGAAUUCCGUGAGUCAUCGAAUCUUUGAACGCACAUUGCGCCCUCCGGUAUUCCGGAGGGCAUGCCUGUUCGAGCGUCAUUACGGCCAAAACAAGCUCCGCUUGGUGUUGGGCCCUUCGCCGGGGGAGGUUGAGUUCCACAAAGCUACCUAGGUAGCAAACUGUGUAUUCUCUUCUCCCCGGCGGGCCUGAAAGGCAGUGGCGGCCCCCGUCCGGCUUCAAGCGCAGUUGGAAAACUUCUCGCUUCGGAGGCCCGGUGCGGGUGGUCCCGCCCCAGACCCCAUCUUCUUUUAACCAAGGUGGACCUCGGAUCAGGUAGGAAUACCCGCUGAACUUAAGCAUAUCAAUAAGCGGAGGAAAAGAAACCAACAGGGAUUGCCUCAGUAACGGCGAGUGAAGCGGCAACAGCUCAAAUUUGAAAUCUGGGCCCCUUACGGGGUCCCGAGUUGUAAUUUGCAGAGGAUGCUUCGGGCAAGGUGCCGGUCUAAGUCCCCUGGAACGGGGCGUCAGAGAGGGUGAGAAUCCCGUCUGUGACCGGCGUCCGCGUCUAUGUGAAGCUCCUUCGACGAGUCGAGUUGUUUGGGAAUGCAGCUCAAAACGGGUGGUAAAUUUCAUCUAAAGCUAAAUACCGGCCGGAGACCGAUAGCGCACAAGUAGAGUGAUCGAAAGAUGAAAAGCACUUUGGAAAGAGAGUCAAACAGCACGUGAAAUUGUUGAAAGGGAAGCGCUUGCGCCCAGACUUGCCCCGCCGCCGCUCAACCGGGGUUCUCCCCGGUGCAUUCGGCGGCGGUCAGGCCAGCAUCGGCGGGGGCGGUCGGAUAAAGGCUCGCGGAACGUAGCUCCCCUCGGGGAGUAUUAUAGCCGUGGGUGCCAUGCGACCUGCCUCCGCCGAGGAACGCGCUUCGGCGAGGAUGCUGGCGUAAUGGUCGCAAGCGGCCCGUCUUGAAACACGGACC
rnacentral:rRNA from 1 species